rnacentral:rRNA from 1 species
AGCGAACGCUGGCGGCAGGCCUAACACAUGCAAGUCGAACGAAGUCUUCGGACUUAGUGGCGGACGGGUGAGUAACACGUGGGAACGUGCCUUUAGGUUCGGAAUAACUCAGGGAAACUUGUGCUAAUACCGAAUGUGCCCUUCGGGGGAAAGAUUUAUCGCCUUUAGAGCGGCCCGCGUCUGAUUAGCUAGUUGGUGAGGUAACGGCUCACCAAGGCGACAAUCAGUAGCUGGUCUGAGAGGAUGAUCAGCCAAAUUGGGACUGAGACACGGCCCAAACUCCUACGGGAGGCAGCAGUGGGGAAUCUUGCGCAAUGGGCGAAAGCCUGACGCAGCCAUGCCGCGUGAAUGAGGAAGGUCUUAGGAUUGUAAAAUUCUUUCACCGGGGACGAUAAUGACGGUACCCGGAGAAGAAGCCCCGGCUAACUUCGUGCCAGCCGCCGCAGUAAUAC